CGGGGUGUGGCGCAGUCCGGUAGCGCACAUGGUUUGGGACCAUGGUGUCGGAGGUUCAAAUCCUCUCACCCCGA
rfam:Candidate division Zixibacteria bacterium SM23_73_3 WORSMTZ_2796, whole genome shotgun sequence.